rnacentral:rRNA from 1 species
CCUACGGGUGGCAGCAGUGAGGAAUAUUGGUCAAUGGGCGCGAGCCUGAACCAGCCAAGUAGCGUGAAUGAUGAAUGUCCUCGGGUUUGUAAACGUCUUUUAUAAGGGAGUAAAGUGAGACACGUGUACCUUUUUGUACGUACUUUAUGAAUAAGGAUCGGCUAACUCCGUGCCAGCAGCCGCGGUAAGACGGAGGAUGCGAGGGUUAUCCGGAUUUAGUGGGUUUAGAGGGUGCGUAGGCGGGUUUUUAAGUCAGCGGUAAAAUUGCGGGGCCCAACCCCGUCCGGCCGUUGAUACUGGGGACCUUGAGUGGGCGAGAGGAAGGCGGAAUGCGUGGUGUAGCGGUGAAAUGCGUAGAUAUCACGAAGAACACCGAUUGCGAAGGCAGCCUUCCGGCGCCCUACUGACGCUGAGGCACGAAAGUGUGGGGAUCGAACAGGAUUAGAUACCCGGGUAGUC